CAAAACUUUCAACAACGGAUCUCUUGGUUCUGGCAUCGAUGAAGAACGCAGCGAAAUGCGAUAAGUAAUGUGAAUUGCAGAAUUCAGUGAAUCAUCGAAUCUUUGAACGCACAUUGCGCCCCUCGGUAUUCCGGGGGGCAUGCCUGUUCGAGCGUCAU
rnacentral:rRNA from 1 species